GAUGAACGCUGGCGGCGUGCCUAAUACAUGCAAGUCGAGCGAACAGAUGAGGAGCUUGCUCCUCUGACGUUAGCGGCGGACGGGUGAGUAACACGUGGAUAACCUACCUAUAAGACUGGGAUAACUUCGGGAAACCGGAGCUAAUACCGGAUAAUAUAUUGAACCGCAUGGUUCAAUAGUGAAAGACGGUUUUGCUGUCACUUAUAGAUGGAACCGCGCCGCAUUAGCUAGUUGGUAAGGUAACGGCUUACCAAGGCAACGAUGCGUAGCCGACCUGAGAGGGUGAUCGGCCACACUGUAACUGAGACACGGUCCAGACUCCUACGUGAGGCAGCAGUAGGGAAUCUUCCGCAAUGGGCGAAAGCCUGACGGAGCAACGCCGCGUGAGUGAUGAAGGUCUUCGGAUCGUAAAACUCUGUUAUUAGGGAAGAACAAAUGUGUAAGUAACUAUGCACGUCUUGACGGUACCUAAUCAGAAAGCCACGGCUAACUACGUG
rnacentral:rRNA from 1 species